GGCGGACGAGGGGCGGAGCCUGCGGUGGGGCAGGCGAGCUGGCGUCCCGCGGGGCCCACCCUGCCUGCCCACCUUGCCUGCUCCGCUUCGUAGAUGUGUGUUUGCCCGGCCAGCGCCUCGUGGUGAGCGGCCGCCUCGCGCAGCUUCAGGGCCGCCCCCACCCACGCACACCCCCUUGUAUUUUUUUUUCUGGAUGAUUUGAGAGUAGGCGACAGACACAGCGGCCCUUUUUUCUAAUACUUCAGUGAAUGUUUCCUUAGAAGAAUGACCUUCUCUUAAGGACCAGAGGCUGCGAUUACUACGCCCAGCUGCAGGACUGGGAUGGUGAGCUCAUAAAGGGACAUCUUCUGCAAGGCUUUGACCAAAUGGUCCAGGGCAGAGACAAAAACCGGUGUUGAGGCCCCACUGAAAGCUACAUGCCCAGACUGGAUGCCCCAAGGGCUGCAUUUUAGGAUUAAGGGUGAUCUAGAAGUAAAGCAGCCGUCUCCGGGAUGUCCUCAAAAGCUUUGGGUGGCCUGGAAAACAUCUUGUUCUUUGAGAGACUAGUCACUGAGAACUCCUGGUGAGGCCGGUCAGGAAAGAGGGGUGGGAAGACACAAAUCCUACAGACCCUACAGACACUGAGGAUAAUAAAAGGAUAUUAAGAACAAUUAGGGGAUCCCUGGGUGGCGCAGCGGUUUAGCGCCUGCCUUUGACCCAGGGCGCGAUCCUGGAGACCCGGGAUCGAAUCCCACGUCAGGCUCCCGGUGCAUGGAGCCUG